UACGAAGGGGGCUAGCGUUGUUCGGAAUCACUGGGCGUAAAGCGCACGUAGGCGGAUGUGCCAGUCAGGGGUGAAAUCCCGGAGCUCAACUCCGGAACUGCCUCUGAUACAGCACGUCUUGAGUUCGAGAGAGGUGGGUGGAAUUCCUAGUGUAGAGGUGAAAUUCGUAGAUAUUCGCAAGAACACCAGUGGCGAAGGCGGCUCACUGGCCCGGUACUGACGCUGAGGCACGAAAGCGUGGGGAGCAAACAGG
rnacentral:rRNA from 1 species